CCAUGUGGUGAAGUUCUCUUCAAGUCUUUGAAGUCUUGGUUUUCCAGCCACUUACCUCUGCGCUCCUUGUGUCUCAAGGUUUUUUCAUUGUGUUGGUGCCCUUGCCAAACAGGGACUUCCUCUGCAAUCCAUUCUAUAAUAGAUUUCCUUCAGAACCUCCUCCCAACCACUUGCUGCAGCAAGCUCCACCGCUUCUCCAGAUCUCACCUGCCUGCCUGCUCUCCACUGGUUGCUCCUCUCAGCAUCAGUCUCUGUUCAGCCUUGCUUACGCCUUUGUGGAACACCCACAAUUCAAAAGGAUCUCCAAUUCAAAUCCACCACCAGGAUCACUCGUUGCCCCUCUCCGUUUCUCCAGCCGUCCACCAGAAUUCUGGAUGUACACUAUCGGGAUAUCUAGAACAUACAGCUCUGGUCACCCAGAUCUGUGAGGAAGCUAGGGACAACAAGAGCAACUUGGCUGUAUUGAGGCUAGACUUCCCAAACACCUAUGGUUCCAUACCUCAGACGCUGGUGGAAGAGGCACUGAUCCGGUAUCGCAUUCUGAAGAAGAUGCCAUGAACAUGCCAAUAGUCUGCUCAGUGGCAGUGCAGAGGGCCCCUCAUCAAGUCCGACAGCCGCCAUCCGAGCCUUUAUUGGUGACCUGACGGUGACUACUACAUCUGCCCCAGGUUGCAGAUGGAUCCUGAGCAGCCUCUAGAAGCUUAUCUCUUAGGCUCAUAUGAGAUUUCAGCCUGAAAAGUCAGGGACCAUGUUGCUGAAGAGAAGGAAGGUUAUUGACAAGUUCAGUUUCUUAAUUAGCAAUGCCAAGAUACCAUCACGUACAGAGAAAUGUGUGAAGAGCUUGGAAAAGUUAUUCCACUGCAGUCUGAAGGAUGCUGCCUCCACACAAGUAACUAACCAAGAACCCUGGUUAGCUGCAAUGGACACGUCCAGCCGUCCUGGUAAAAUCAAGGCUUGGAUUUACUAACACGGGACUCUACCAUGGAUCCUCUGGCCCCUCUUGGUUUAUGUAGUUCCCAUCUCUACGGUGGAAGGCUUUGAGGGAAGGGCCAGCUGGUUUUUGUGGAAGUGGCUGGGGCUGGGGCUACCUUGGAACCUGAGCAGUAUUGUUCUGUAUGGGCAAAACAAGUUUCCCAUCAGCUGCUUGAGUGAAGAAGUCAUGGAGACCCUUCAUCCCAGGUCUACUCCAACCUGCUGCCACCUUGAGCUGCACUAUUUUAGAAUUCAUUCAUUCAGGAUGUCACAUAAAUAAAAGUAGAAAAUUACCAACCA